UACGAAGGGUGCAAACGUUGCUCGGAAUUACUGGGCGUAAAGCGCGUGUAGGCGGCCAUCUAAGUCGGGCGUGAAAUCCCACGGCUCAACCGUGGAAGUGCACUCGAAACUGGAUGGCUAGAGUCCUGGAGAGGAAGGUGGAAUGCUUGGUGUAGAGGUGAAAUUCGUAGAUAUCAAGCGGAACACCGGUGGCGAAGGCGGCCUUCUGGACAGUGACUGACGCUGAGACGCGAAAGCGUGGGGAGCAAACAGG
rnacentral:rRNA from 1 species